AACCUGAAAUCAUUUCGAACUCAAGAGUUUUUAUAUAAUUUAUUAAAAUACUAAAAUAUAAUAAUUGGGAAUUUUUUAUAAAAAUAUGUUAAUAAAUUUUGUAUAUGACAUUUAAAAAAAAAAAAUUAA
rnacentral:rRNA from 1 species